CAGCAGUCGCCGCGGUAAUACGGAGGGAGCUAGCGUUGUUCGGAAUUACUGGGCGUAAAGCGCACGCAGGCGGUCUGUCAAGUCAGAUGUGAAAUCCCCGGGCUUAACCUGGGAACUGCAUUUGAAACUGGCAGACUGGAGUCUUGUAGAGGGGGGUAGAAUUCCAGGUGUAGCGGUGAAAUGCGUAGAGAUCUGGAGGAAUACCGGUGGCGAAGGCGGCCCCCUGGACAAAGACUGACGCUCAGGUGCGAAAGCGUGGGGAGCAAACAGGAUUAGAUACCCCGGUAGUCCCUGUCUCUUAUAC
rnacentral:rRNA from 1 species